UAAUAGCUCACUGGUCGAGUCGGCCUGCGCGGAAGAUGUAACGGGGCUAAACCAUGCACCGAAGCUGCGGCAGCGACACUUAUGUGUUGUUGGGUAGGGGAGCGUUCUGUAAGCCUGUGAAGGUGUACUGUGAGGUAUGCUGGAGGUAUCAGAAGUGCGAAUGCUGACAUAAGUAACGAUAAAGCGGGUGAAAAGCCCGCUCGCCGGAAGACC
rnacentral:rRNA from 1 species